AUGAACAUGGUCCUCUGGAGGGCUGUGUAUAUGUGCAUGGGUGUGCAUCUCUGUGACUGUCUGAGUCAGGCAGUUUGCCUGCCUUACCCUGAAGAAGCACCCCUUCUCCUCUGCUUUUCUUCUUGCUCUGUUCCAGUCACCAAGGUUAUAUCCAGCAUAUAGCAACAGAGAGCAUAAUUAACACACUAAACAUUUGGCAGUAGUGGGGGAAGGUAAACGAGCCUUUGCAAAUGUGGGCACUGUGCCUUUGCCAAGUCAGCUGCCUUUUUAAGAGGCUGGGGCAUCUUGUCCAACACCGCAAUUACCACGUGUGUCAGCACGUGGGUUUGAAAGGCACAGAUUUCCCCUGAUGUGCUGCUUCUCUGCUCACCUGUUGCCAGAUUGCAUCUUUUCUGACUCACUGCUUCAGAAGUACAACUGAGCCCAUGCUGUGUUGAUUCCAAAAUACAGCAGCCUAUAGCCACUGAGACGUGUCUACAAGGGAACAGGCAGCAGCUGACACACUGAUGCUCUGCCUAAUAGCUUAGUCCAACAGUCAUUUGUGGAUAAUGGGUCUAAUUAAUUAGAUGAGAAACACUUGGUGUGUCUGAGCUACACCAGGAUAAUUGCUAAUAUGGGCACUUUACACAUUUGAGUCAACGUUUUGUGCAGCUGGUAUCUUAGGAGGAGAGGCACUUUGUACUGUUGUUCGUAUCUACCUACCCAUCAGGAGUGAGCCCUUCAGCUGCUAUACCUCGCAGAAUGCCCCUGCUUUCAGUGGAGAAGCGCCCAUUUUACCAAGCCUUCAGAGCAAAGCAUGGGAGGAGGCAGUUACACACAGGAACCUGCACUAUUAGGCCUAAUUAGAAACACUUACUAAGGGCAGGUGUUAGCUUUGUAACCUGAUGCAUGUUGUAAAGGAACUCUACAGUUUUCCUUAUUACCUUUGCUUUUCAGAUGUUAAAGACUUCUCUGCUUUGUUUUUCACAAAGUGACAUCAUCUACUGACAGAGGGCAGGGAAAUGCUGAUGAGACAAUAUGGAACAAGUUCUCUUAAUUGCUGUGUAUACCACAGCUCUUCUCUUGUCUCUGACAUUUGCCAGGUUAAGUACUCUUUUUGCUCUACAAAAGUCAUAAAGUUCAUUUAUAAGCGUAAAAAAGCCC
rnacentral:lncRNA from 1 species